GCCCGGCUAGCUCAGUCGGUAGAGCAUGAGACUCUUAAUCUCAGGGUAGAUGGGUUCGAGCCCGCGUUGGGCA